GCGGGAAUGGCGGAACUGGCAGACGCGUACGUUUGAGGGGCGUAUGGAUUACUCCGUGUGGGUUCAAGUCCCACUUCCCGCACCA
rnacentral:tRNA from 2 species